UGAGGAAUAUUGGUCAAUGGGCGCAAGCCUGAACCAGCCAUCCCGCGUGAAGGAUGACGGCCCUAUGGGUUGUAAACUUCUUUUAUGUACCAAGAAUAUGCCUUACGAGUAGGGUAUUGACGGUAGUGCAUGAAUAAGCAUCGGCUAACUCCGUGCCAGCAGCCGCGGUAAUACGGAGGAUGCGAGCGUUAUCCGGAUUCAUUGGGUUUAAAGGGUGCGUAGGCGGUUUAUUAAGUCAGUGGUGAAAUCCUGCGGCUCAACCGUAGGACUGCCAUUGAUACUGAUAAACUUGAAUAUAGUUGAGGUAGGCGGAAUGAGUAGUGUAGCGGUGAAAUGCUUAGAGAUUACUCAGAACACCUAUUGCGAAGGCAGCGUGCUAAGCUAUUGUUGACGCUGUGGGACGAAAGGGUGGGGAUCGAACAGGAGUAGAUACCGGUGUAGGC
rnacentral:rRNA from 1 species